UCAUUGCAAUGAUUAGGAAUCAUCACAAGCAUGAGUUAGCAAUUUUAUAUGAGUUCAUUAUAGUCUUAUAAGAUCAGGCACUAAAGGUCACCCAAAACAGUCCACUUUUGGGCUUAAAAUGUGAUUUUUCACAAGUUUAAUGCUCAAAACAGUUUAGGCUUGGUUUCUUUAGCUUGUGUAGCUUACUUAUGUCAUAUUAUGACUAUUGAAACUUGCACACAUGGUCCAGGUAUGGGAAUUCUAUAGUUAGGUCUUAGUUGCCACUUAAAGCUUACUUUUCAUGGCUUUUAAACAUGAAAUUUGGUCAAUACACAACAUAGACCACAACUAAGUUAAGGAACACCUUUUAAAUGAUAUGUGUAGACAAUAUAGGGACUCCAUACUAUCUCAAAACUUCAGUUGCAAAAAUUUGCUAUAAUAGUUCUCAUAUAGGCAUAGAUUUGAUUAUAAUUUCAUAAACAGUCCACAUAUACGCAAAAGAAACCCUUAUUGUUUCUUAUAGUAUCUUUCAAUAUAAAUAUCAACUCAUAUGCUUCCUAAAUUGUUGCCGAACAAAUUUACCCAAAAACAAAAAAAUCAUCUUCACAAUUAUCCAAAACACAAUUGGAAAAUCCCCUAAUUUCUUCCACCAG
rnacentral:lncRNA from 1 species